GUAGGUGGCAAGCGUUGUCCGGAAUUAUUGGGCGUAAAGCGCGCGCAGGCGGGGUCCUUUAAGUCUGAUGUGAAAGCCCACGGGCUCAACCGUGGAGGGUCAUUGGAAACUGGGGGACUUGAGUACAGAAGAGGAAAGCGGAAUUCCAAGUGUAGCGGUGAAAUGCGUAGAGAUUUGGAGGAACACCAGUGGCGAAGGCGGCUUUCUGGUCUGUAACUGACGCUGAGGCGCGAAAGCGUCGGGGAGCAAACAGGAUUAGAUACCCUGGUAGUCCACGCCGUAAACGAUGAGUGCUAAGUGUUAGGGGGUUUCCGCCCCUUAGUGCUGCAGCUAACGCAUUAAGCACUCCGCCUGGGGAGUACGGCCGCAAAGGCUG
rnacentral:rRNA from 1 species